rnacentral:sRNA from 1 species
UAUCAGUAAGCUGAUAAGCGCGAACUGC